UUAAUUUUAAAUCCAUUUGAUAGAAUUAAUCAUAUAAGCCAGUCUCAUUUCCCUGCAAAUGUCUGCCUUCGUGCAGGUGAUUCUGUAGAAAGGAGUUUCUCCAAUAAAGCAGAGCUUCUCUUUCAACUCCAUGGACAUCAGAGAGAGUCCCUUUCAAAAAAGGAGGCUCAGGUCUGGAGAGACAAAGGCCUCUACUUUCGAAAAGGCCUCUUGGAUCAAGCCCAGACCCUCAUCAGAGCUGACAACAUGUCCAGCCUGCACUACUGCAAGAACUUCUUUGUCUAUGGUAGUGUGGUCAACUGAAGAAGCCGGCUUAGUUGCUCCAGUCAGGUGCUCACACUAAGAAAGGAUGGGUGAAGGUUAUAAAGUGGCUGUGAAUGAGAACUCGGUCUGGGCUCUACCAAGCAGAGAAGCCAUGCAGAGAUGAGAAAGGUGAAAGCCAUGAAACCAUGUUAAGCAGAAAAAUAAAAAUUCAAAACAGAA